rnacentral:rRNA from 1 species
ACACCGGCGCCUCGAGUGGUGCCCACGAAUACUGGGCCUAAAGCGCCCGUAGCCGGUCUUGUAAGUCCUCUGUGAAAUGUUGGGGCUUAACUCCAACGCGUGCAGAGGAUACUGCAAGACUUGGGAGCGGUGGAGGGCAGGGGUACAUCCGGGCUAGCGGUAAAAUGCGCUGAACCUGGAUGGACCACCAGCGGCGAAGGCGCCUGCCCAAGACGCGUCCGACGGUGAGGGGCGAAAGCUGGGGGAGCAAAGGGGAUUAGAUACCCUAGUAGUCC